rnacentral:rRNA from 1 species
UACGUAGGUGGCAAGCGUUAUCCGGAAUUAUUGGGCGUAAAGCGCGCGCAGGUGGUUUCUUAAGUCUGAUGUGAAAGCCCACGGCUCAACCGUGGGAGGUCAUUGGAAACUGGGAGACUUGAGUGCAGAAGAGGAAAGUGGAAUUCCAUGUGUAGCGGUGAAAUGCGUAGAGAUAUGGAGGAACACCCGUGGCGAAGGCGGGCUUCUGGUUGACAUCUGACGCUGAGGUGCGAAAGCUAGGGGAGCAAACGGG